GUUUGGGCCGAUAACAGCGUAACCUGAAAAAUCCGUAAACAUGACCAACGAGGGAAUAUUUGGUCGUGUGUAAGAACAGCUGAGUCUAGGGUUUCUCCGGUUCGUCGCCUCCUCCCAUGGCCAAGAGAACCAACAAGAAUGUGUUGGUAUUGUUGGGAGUAUGCCUGCAGCGCUUAUGAAUUUGAUUGAAAUUAGGGCGUGGCAGUGAUGAUAGAUGUUAAUCCCAGCUCAUUUUGAGGCCUUUCCUGUGUGAGGUCAGGGAAAUUUACAUUUUUUUCUCACGUACAUCGUCUGAUCUUCACCCUACUUCUUUUCUGAUUUUAUUUUGGAUUUGAGUUAUUUUUAUGUUUUUUGUUCUUCUUUGGUUUAUUUUGGAAGUGUUCCUUGUGAUGGUUGAUUCGAAAAAAUCAUGCUAAUUCUGAUUGUUUUGUGAUUAAGAUUUAAUUCACUUCUACCGAAGGAACACUGAUGAUUUUUCUUUUCUUGUUUUUUUUUGUUUUUCCCUAUACAUAUAAUACUCUUCUUUAUUUUGAUAUCAAUUUAUCUGUUGCAGUUUUGAUUUAUUUUAAAAAAAUUUCUUCAGAUAGGAAUUUGACUAUUGUAGUUUUUUUGGUUGUGUUUGUUUUAGGAUUUUUAGGAAAUUUUACUAUUCAAUAAAAUUUUUCUUGAAAAUUAAAAUCAAAAUUCUAUAUUUAUUUUAAUAUUAUACUAUUAAUUCAUUUUAUUUUUCAAAACAAUAUACUCCUACCAUUUCAUAAUAGUUGACAUUUUUUAUUUUAGUAUAUUUCAUAAUAGUUGACAAGAUUAUAUUUUUAGUAAAUUAUCAAUUUUAAAUAUAUUUAAUAUAUAUAAAAAUUAAUUUAAUUAAAUUUCUAACCUCUCAAAUAUGUAGAAUCUACUGAAAAUUAAUUUAUUUUUAUCUUUAUCUUCAAUAAAUAAAUAUUUUUAUUCAUAUUUAAAUUUUUUCAUUUUCUUAGAAAAUUAGUUUAUACUCCCUCUGUCCCACGACACGGUAUUUAAGACGAGAAUGUUUAAUUAGUUAAUAAUAAUUAAUUAUGAUAUUAUUAUAUUUUUUUAUAAUUAAUAAUAUUUAUAAUUUUAAAGUAAAUUUAAUAUAUAUGAUUAAAAAAAAUUAAAAUAUAUGUUUAAAUAUUUAAAAAUUAUAUAGCAAUAUGAAUAUAAUUUUGUAGAGAAUAAAAUUUUCUAUAAUAUAAGUAAAUAAAAAAAUAUUUUUGUUUAUUUAUAAUUAACAUAAAUCAAUUUUAUAAAAGAUGUAUAGUUUUAAAUAUAGAUAAAAAUAUUUAUUUUUUUGAGGAGAGAUGUAGAAAUAAAGGGGUUUUAAGUGGGUCUUACGUCAUUUAUGAUGUUGUAUAUUAUGUAGUUAAUUAAGUUGAUUUAUAUUUGUUAAAUAUAUUUUGAAUUAAUAAUUUUUACCAAAAAUAGAAAUUUGUCAAUUGUUAUGGGACAGACAAAAAUGGAAAUAGUAUCAAAUGUGGUGGGACGGAGGGAGUAUUAAUAAACAAAUAAAUAUAUUUUUUAUUUAAUUGUAACAUAUAUUGUUUUAUUCUCCGUGAAAAGGUAUCCAUAUUAUAUACUCUUUCCGUCCAAAAAAAAUAUUUUGUUGGAAGUGGGCACGAGAAUUAAAGAAUAAUAUUAUUUAAUUGAAAAUAAUAUAAAGUAGAAGUUAAAAAACUAAAAUACGGAAUGAUUUUAAAAGUAGGUUGCAGUAGUAAUUAGAGGUAGUUUGAAAAAGUGGAAUAAUUUUGUUAUAAAAUGGAGACCACUGUUACUAAAUAAAAAAAAUAUUUUUGAAAAAAAAAAGUAAGAAACAAGAUAAUUGUUUUGGGACAAACAAAAAUAGAAAAACAAGACAACACUAUUAAGACCGAAAGAGUAUAUUUUAUUAGAUAUAAUAUUUAAAAUAUUUAAACUCAUUUCAAAUUUCUUUUAAUUAUAUAUAUUGAUUUUUAUUUUUAAAAUAUCAACAUCACUUUCAUAAUAAAUAAUAAAAUAAUAUCAUAACAUACUAUAAUUUAUAUAUUAAACUCAUUUUUUUAAAUACUUAUUGUUUUGUGAUAAAAAAUUAACCCACUUGUUUUUUCUUAAGGAACAUCACUAUUUUUUUUUUUUUUUUUUCUGCUCUCUUCGUAUACAUAUAAUAUCCUUUAUUUUUAUAUCAAUUUAUCUCUUGCAGUUCCCAUUUAUUUUAUUAGUUUAGAUAAAAUAAAAAAUCUUGUUUAAAUAGAAAUUUGACAGUAUUUGGCUGUGUUUGUUUUAGUAUUUCUAGGGGAUUUUACUAUUCAAUUAAAAUUUUUUCGAAAAAAAUAUAAAUUUUAUUUUUAAUAUUAUACUAAUAAUUUAUUUUCUAUUCAAAAGAUUAUAUAUAAUAUCUAUUUCUAGCCAACCCAAAGUAUGUAGAUAAGUUUAACCGAAAGUAUGGUCCAGAGAGGUAUGAAGAUUUUAAUAGUCUCCAGUCCACCGUAAGACACAUAAUUAUAUGGGAUUGAAAGUCAUGGCUCUUGCUGUUCUUGGGAAAGAGCUCAAGAAGCCUUUGGAGGGGAUAGUUUUUGAGUAAUUGGGAUGCCCUAAAUUAUAUAACAGAUAGAGUAUGCUAUGCUGCUUUUGAUGUAUUUUUAUGUUCUAUCCGGCCUAUAUACUAUACAACCUAAAAUCUUGCAAGAUGCAGGGAGGUAAUUUUUGUAGGUUUUGAAGUUGACCGAUGAUAAAGUGUAAGGUAUGAAUGCUAUGAUCUAAUAAUUUAAGUUUUAUGCUUUUCUGCUUAAAAAGUAUGUGCUAUUGAGGGGUCGUUCUUGUUGGGUUUCGGCUCCCAACCAUGUGAAUUAAAGGCCCAAAUUUAAAAGGUAAUUAGUUUUAAUUGGAUGACUUAAUUACCCCCGAAAAUAAUAAUCAGCAACAGCAGCUGCGGACAGUGAUAUAUCCGAAAAGAAAAACAGAACAGUCCCGAGUUGUUCUUCUCCCUGCGAAGUUUUGGAGACUGGAUCAAUCGGCAUAGGAAACGUUGUCUGAUCGGCUUGAAAUUUUUACUGAAGUUAGGGGACAUCUAUAUCUUCAUUUUGUUCGGUGGAGAUCUUUUUUCAACGGUCCGAUUUUCAGAUAAAAAUUCGGCAAUGAACCAGAUUUUUGGCUCUGUUUUUGUUCGGUUUUUUCGUUGUUUGUGAGAUCAAGAUUUCGGUGACUCCCUGUUAUUUAGGCCAUAUCUCGGGUUGUGAUUUUGGAUCUGAUUUUUGUGAUAGUGGAAUUUUUGGGUGGGCUUAAGAGCCUCGUGGUUUUUCCUCUUUGCAUUGGAGAGGUUUUCCACGUAAAUCGGCUUAUUAAUGCUCCUGCGAUAUUUUAACAA